rnacentral:rRNA from 1 species
GAUGAACGCUAGCUACAGGCUUAACACAUGCAAGUCGAGGGGCAGCAUGAACAUAGCUUGCUAUGUUUGAUGGCGACCGGCGCACGGGUGCGUAACACGUAUCCAAUCUGCCCGUUACUCGGGGAUAGCCUUCUGAAAGGAAGAUUAAUACCCGAUAGCAUUCAUUGGCGGCAUCGCUUUUGAAUUAAAGACUUAUUGGUAACGGAUGAGGAUGCGUACGAUUAGCUAGUUGGCGGGGUAACGGCCCACCAAGGCGACGAUCGUUAGGGGUUCUGAGAGGAAGGUCCCCCACACUGGAACUGAGACACGGUCCAGACUCCUACGGGAGGCAGCAGUGAGGAAUAUUGGUCAAUGGGCGAGAGCCUGAACCAGCCAAGUAGCGUGAAGGAUGACUGCCCUACGGGUUGUAAACUUCUUUUGUUUGGGAAUAAAAGACGCUACGUGUAGCGUUCUGCAUGUACCUUACGAAUAAGCAUCGGCUAAUUCCGUGCCAGCCGCCGCGGUAAUAC